GAUGAACGCUAGCGGCAGGCCUAAUACAUGCAAGUCGAACGGGUGGUCGCAAGACCACUAGUGGCGCACGGGUGCGUAACGCGUAACCAACCUGCCCCGAUCUGGGGGAUAGCCCGCCGAAAGGCGGAUUAAUACCGCAUAUACCCGCAGCCUGGCAUCAGGCAACGGGGAAAGAUUUAUUGGAUCGGGAUGGGGUUGCGUGACAUUAGCUAGUUGGCGGGGUAAGGGCCCACCAAGGCGACGAUGUCUAGGGGACCUGAGAGGGUGAUCCCCCACACUGGCACUGAGAUACGGGCCAGACUCCUACGGGAGGCAGCAGUAGGGAAUAUUGGGCAAUGGGCGUGAGCCUGACCCAGCCAUGCCGCGUGCCGGAUGAAGGCCUUCUGGGUUGUAAACGGCUUUUCUCAGGGAAGAAAAAGACCUUGCGAGGUACACUGACGGUACCUGAGGAAUAAGCACCGGCUAACUCCGUG
rnacentral:rRNA from 1 species